rnacentral:rRNA from 1 species
CCCUCCCCCUUUCUUCGUGCUUAACACAUGCAAGUCGAACGGAAAGGCCCUGCUUUUGUGGGGUGCUCGAGUGGCGAACGGGUGAGUAACACGUGAGUAACCUGCCCUUGACUUUGGGAUAACUUCAGGAAACUGGGGCUAAUACCGGAUAGGAGCUCCUGCUGCAUGGUGGGGGUUGGAAACUUUCGGCGGUUGGGGAUGGACUCGCGGCUUAUCAGCUUGUUGGUGGGGUAGUGGCUUACCAAGGCUUUGACGGGUAGCCGGCCUGAGAGGGUGACCGGCCACAUUGGGACUGAGAUACGGCCCAGACUCCUACGGGAGGCAGCAGUGGGGAAUAUUGCACAAUGGGCGGAAGCCUGAUGCAGCAACGCCGCGUGCGGGAUGACGGCCUUCGGGUUGUAAACCGCUUUCGCCUGUGACGAAGCGUGAGUGACGGUAAUGGGUAAAGAAGCACCGGCUAACUACGUG